rnacentral:tRNA from 1 species
GGCGGAUUAGUCUAAAUGGUUAGGACAGGAGACUCUCAAUCUCCAGAUGUCGGGUUCAAGCCCCGCAUCCGCUA